GACGAACGCUGGCGGCGUGCUUAACACAUGCAAGUCGAACGGAAAGGCCCUGCUUUUGUGGGGUGCUCGAGUGGCGAACGGGUGAGUAACAAGUGAGUAACCUGCCCUUGACUUUGGGAUAACUUCAGGAAACUGGGGCUAAUACCGGAUAGGAGCUCCUGCCGCAUGGUGGGGGUUGGAAAGUUUCGGCGGUUGGGGAUGGACUCGCGGCUUAUCAGCUUGUUGGUGGGGUAGUGGCUUACCAAGGCUUUGACGGGUAGCCGGCCUGAGAGGGUGACCGGCCACAUUGGGACUGCGAUACGGCCCAGACUCCUACGGGAGGCAGCAGUGGGGAAUAUUGCACAAUGGGCGGAAGCCUGAUGCAGCAACGCCGCGUGCGGGAUGACGGCCUUCGGGUUGUAAACCGCUUUCGCCUGUGACGAAGCGUGAGUGACGGUAAUGGGUGAAGAAGCACCGGCUAACUACGUG
rnacentral:rRNA from 1 species